UACGUAGGGUGCUAGCGUUGUUCGGAAUCAUUGGGCGUAAAGCGCGUGUAGGCUGUUAGUUAAGUCGGGUGUGAAAUCCCUGGGCUCAACCGAGGAAGUGCAUCCGAAACUAACUGGCUAGAAGACGGUAGAGGAAGGUGGAAUUCCUAGUGUAGAGGUGAAAUUCGUAGAUAUUAGGAGGAAUACCGGUGGCGAAGGCGGCCUUCUGGACCGAUCUUGACGCUGAGACGCGAAAGCGUGGGGAGCAAACAG
rnacentral:rRNA from 1 species